AGCACAGAGCCUGACGCAGGGCUUGAAUUCAGGAGCCGUGAGGUCAUGACCUGAGCUGAAGCUGGACACUUAACCAACUAAGCCACCCAGGAGCCCCAAGAGAAUUUUUUUUAAGUAUAGUUUUGUGAUGUUUUUAUACUUCUUGGUAAAAAUUGUUUCUACUUCUUGAUGUUUGUUUUGUAUUUACUUUCCGUAAGAGUUUAAUUGACAAGUAUCUUCUUGGUAUUGAGGGACAAGAAACCAUAUGGCAAAGCACUUACUGGCUCUGACCGUCUCUGCACAUCCGUUCCAUUCACAUUUUCUAGGCCAAGCAAGUCACAUGGUCACAUCUAGCCACAAGUGCACAGCAAGGAAUAAAGUUGUAGAUGGCAGCUGCUCUAAUGACAAAGAACCGAGUCUCCUGCUGACCCUUGACCACCGCCUAGUGUGAGCAAGCAAACAAACGUCAUGUCUUAAACGGUGGAGCUGUUGGCGUCUUUGUUGCUGUGGCCCAACUCACCCAUCUGAGCGCUGCAGUUAGGGCUUGUCCCACACCCGGCCCACACCCCCGGGCCAGUUCGCUAAUUGACUGUGUGAGUUCGCAAGGCUGCUUUACACGACGCUGUCUUCCUGAAAUCUGCACCUGUACCAGGUUAGGUGCCCGUCAUCUGUCUGACAAACAAAGCUAGUGCUUUUAAUGUUGCCUUUCAGUGUGAUUAAGUAUGCUAGUGAACCUACUGUUUUAAGGUUCGUGAUAAAAAAAUGUCAAAACAAGUAAUACGUAAUAUUCUCUAAUGAUGCUAAUUAUUCUUUUAAAUGCUUUGAUGCUGCUUUCUCUCCUGUGUGCCUGACCUAGCUUAUCUAAUCUUGCUUAGGCUUGUAACUGAGUGUCCUGUAAUACUAUUUGAAAAACACACACAUACAUAACCACUGAUACAAAUGAAUCAGUGCUAAAAUGAAAGCUUUUUCAUACCAUGGCAACUAUUCAUAAAAAGGUUCACAUAAGCUAUUAGAGUCUUUUAUUUCCUGUUUCCAUUUUUAUCGAUGUGAAAUGAUUGUUGCAUAAAGCGCAAGGAAGCCA